rnacentral:rRNA from 1 species
CCAGACUCCUACGGGAGGCAGCAGUGAGGAAUAUUGGUCAAUGGACUUACGCCUGAACCAGCCAAGUCGCGUGAGGGAAGACUGCCCUAUGGGUUGUAAACCUCUUUUGUCAGGGAGCAAUUGGCGCUACGUGUAGCGUUAUCGAGAGUACCUGAAGAAAAAGCAUCGGCUAACUCCGUGCCAGCAGCCGCGGUAAUACGGAGGAUGCGAGCGUUAUCCGGAUUUAUUGGGUUUAAAGGGUGCGCAGGCGGAUUUUUAAGUCAGCGGUCAAAUCGUGGGGCUCAACCCCAUCCAGCCGUUGAAACUGCAUCCCUUGAGUGCGCGAGAAGUAUGCGGAAUGCGUGGUGUAGCGGUGAAAUGCAUAGAUAUCACGCAGAAUUCCGAUUGCGAAGGCAGCAUACCGGCGCGCAACUGACGCUCAUGCACGAAAGCGUGGGUAUCGAACAGGAUUAGAUACCCGAGUAU